UAGGGAAUCUUCCUCAAUGGGCGAAAGCCUGAUGGAGCAACGCCGCGUGUGUGAUGAAGGGUUUCGGCUCGUAAAACACUGUUGUAAGAGAAGAAUGACAUUGAGAGUAACUGUUCAAUGUGUGACGGUAUCUUACCAGAAAGGAACGGCUAAAUACGUACCAG
rnacentral:rRNA from 1 species